UACGAAGGGGGCUAGCGUUGUUCGGAAUUACUGGGCGUAAAGCGCACGUAGGCGGAUUGUUAAGUCGGGGGUGAAAUCCCAGGGCUCAACCCUGGAACUGCCUCCGAUACUGGCAUUCUCGAGUCCGGGAGAGGUGAGUGGAAUUCCGAGUGUAGAGGUGAAAUUCGUAGAUAUUCGGAAGAACACCAGUGGCGAAGGCGGCUCACUGGCCGGGAACUGACGCUGAGGUGCGAAAGCGUGGGAGCAAACAGG
rnacentral:rRNA from 1 species